UCGGGUGGCAUACUAUCUGGGUGAAGAACGGUAACACAGGGUAUGAUGACAUUCGUGCCGCGAUCAUGGAAGCAAAGGCUGUCAAAGAUAAACCAACACUCAUCAAGGUUUGUGUUGUUUGCCGGAAUUGUUCUCGAGCAGAAUGUUCGGCUGGGUAUAUGCUUGUUUCGGAUUGCUAAGCCACUGCACUCGUGCAGGUCACCACUACCAUCGGAUAUGGAUCGCCCAAUAAGGCGAACUCGUACAGUGUGCAUGGAAGUGCAUUGGGUGCCAAGGAAGUCGAUGCAACUCGACAGAAUCUUGGAUGGCCGUACGAGCCUUUCCAUGUGCCCGAGGAUAUCAAGAGGUCAGCGACUACGAAUUCGGAUUCUAAUCGUCGAUUAUGAAUGAUUUGUUCUGUACAUAGACCUGUGCUCUGGUUUAUGGUUCAGUCACUGGAGCCGCCAUGUCGCUGAAGGUGCAUCCCUUGAAGCUGAGUGGAACGCCAAGUUUGCAGAGUACGAGAAGAAGUACAAGGAGGAUGCUGCAGAGCUGAAAGCCAUCGUAUCGGGAGAAUUGCCUGCCGGAUGGGAGAAAGCUCUUCCGGUGAAUCUCUCACCCUCCUGUCUUCUGACGCUAUCCAUCCAUUCGAUGUCGUAAAGCUAUGAUUCCAUAUGGCUCUUUUCCAGACAUACACUCCUGAGAGUCCUGCCGAUGCUACCAGAAACUUGUCGCAACAGAACUUGAAUGCGCUUGCGAAAGUUCUACCUGGACUUCUCGGGGGUAGUGCAGAUCUCGCAUCCUCCAACAUGACAUUGCUCAAGAUGUUUGGGGACUUCCAGAAGGGCACGCCCGAGGAGCGUAAUGUUCGUUUUGGUGUACGGGAGCACGGGAUGGGCGCCAUCUGCAACGGCAUCGCCCUCCACAGCCCCGGCCUUCUCCCCUACUGUGCGACCUUCUUUGUUUUCACGGACUACAUGAGAGCUGCCAUCAGGAUCUCAGCUUUGUGCGAGGCAGGAGUCAUCUAUGUGAUGACGCAUGAUUCCAUCGGUCUCGGGGAGGACGGUCCGACUCACCAGCCGAUCGAACACUUGAUAAGUUUCCGAGCCAUGCCGAACAUUCUAAUGCUCAGGCCUGCCGAUGGAAAUGAGACCGCCGGAGCAUACAAGGUCGCGGUGCUCAACAGGAAGAGGCCAUCGGUGCUCGCUCUCUCGCGGCAGAAACUUCCUCAGCUUGCGGGAACAUCAAUCGAGGGAGUAGAGAAGGGAGGGUACAUCGUUUCAGACAACUCCUCAGGUAACAAACCAGACCUGAUCUUGAUGGGCACCGGUUCGGAACUGGAAAUUGCAGCGAAGGCUGCCGACGAGCUGAGGAAGACGGGGAAAACGGUCCGAGUGGUAUCGCUCGUCUGCUGGGAGUUGUUCGAGGAGCAAUCAGAUGAAUACAAGGAGAGUGUGCU
rnacentral:lncRNA from 1 species